GAGAGACUGCCGAGGAUAACUCGGAGGAAGGUGGGGAUGACGUCAAAUCAUCAUGCCCCUUAUGUUUAGGGCUACACACGUGCUACAAUGGCUAGUACAGAGGGUUGCGAAACCGCGAGGUCAAGCUAAUCCCUUAAAGCUAGUCUCAGUUCGGAUUGCAGGCUGAAACUCGCCUGCAUGAAGCUGGAGUUACUAGUAAUCGCGAAUCAGAAUGUCGCGGUGAAUGCGUUCCCGGGUCUUGUACACACCGCCCGUCACACCACGGAAGUUGGGGGCGCCCGAAGUCAGAUAUCCAACCGUAAGGAGGAAUCU
rnacentral:rRNA from 1 species